GUGCUGGUUUUGGCAGCACAUACACUAAAGCUGAACAGAUACAGAGAAGAUUAGUACGGCCCCAGCACAAGGAUGACGCACAAAUUUGCAAAGCGUUCUAUAUUUUU